UGGGGAAUAUUGGACAAUGGGCGAAAGCCUGAUCCAGCAAUACCGCGUGUGUGAAGAAGGCCUUCGGGUUGUAAAGCACUUUAGGUCGGAAAGAAAAAACUUUUCCUAAUACGAGAAGUCUUGACGGUACCGACAGAAUAAGCACCGGCUAACUCUGUGCCAGCAGCCGCGGUAAUACAGAGGGUGCAAGCGUUAAUCGGAUUUACUGGGCGUAAAGCGUGCGUAGGUGGCUGUUUAAGUCGGAUGUGAAAGCCCUGGGCUCAACCUGGGAACUGCAUUCGAUACUGGAUAGCUAGAGAUCGGUAGAGGGCAGCGGAAUUCCGGGUGUAGCGGUGAAAUGCGUAGAUAUCCGGAGGAACACCGAUGGCGAAGGCAACUGCCUGGGCCUGAUCUGACACUGAGGCACGAAAGCGUGGGUAGCAAACAGGAUUAGAUACCCCCGUAGUCC
rnacentral:rRNA from 1 species